CGGUGUUUAACUGGCGUGAUGUGGGACGUCCUACCGGUGGGCUUAGCCUCGCGAGGGGCGGCCCAACUAAUAUCCCGUCGCGGUGCUCUUUACUGAGUGUCGAGUCGGGCCGGUACGUUUACUUUGAACAAAUUAGAGUGCUUAAAGCAGGCUAUCCUCGCCUGAAUACUGCGUGCAUGGAAUAAUGGAAUAGGACCUCGGUUCUAUUUUGUUGGUUUUCGGAACCCCGAGGUAAUGAUUAAUAGGGACAGAUGGGGGCAUUCGUAUUGCGACGUUAGAGGUGAAAUUCUUGGAUCGUCGCAAGACGGACAGAAGCGAAAGCAUUUGCCAAAAAUGUUUUCAUUAAUCAAGAACGAAAGUUAGAGGUUCGAAGGCGAUCAGAUACCGCCCUAGUUCUAACCAUAAACGAUGCCAGCUAGCGAUCCGCCGAAGUUCCUCCGAUGACUCGGCGGGCAGCUUCCGGGAAACCAAAGCUCUUGGGUUCCGGGGGAAGUAUGGUUGCAAAGCUGAAACUUAAAGGAAUUGACGGAAGGGCACCACCAGGAGUGGAGCCUGCGGCUUAAUUUGACUCAACACGGGAAACCUCACCAGGCCCAGACACCGGAAGGAUUGACAGAUUGAUAGCUCUUUCUUGAUUCGGUGGGUGGUGGUGCAUGGCCGUUCUUAGUUGGUGGAGCGAUUUGUCUGGUUAAUUCCGAUAACGAACGAGACUCUAGCCUGCUAAAUAGGCGUACCUUAUGGUAUCGCGAAGGCCCCCGGCUUCGGCCGGUGGGUUUUUACUACCAACGUACAAACAAAUCUUCUUAGAGGGACAGGCGG
rnacentral:rRNA from 1 species